AGAGCGAACGCUGGCGGCAGGCCUAACACAUGCAAGUCGAGCGCCCGUAGCAAUACGGGAGCGGCAGACGGGAUAGUAACACGUGGGAACGCGCCCUUCGGUUCGGAAUAACUCAGGGAAACUUGAGCUAAUACCGGAUACGCCCUUACGGGGAAAGAUUUAUUGCCGAAGGAACGGCCCGCGUCCGAUUAGCUAGUUGGUGAGGUAAUGGCUCACCAAGGCGACGAUCGGUAGCUGGUCUGAGAGGAUGACCAGCAUCACUGGGACUGAGACACGGCCCAGACUCCUACGGGAGGCAGCAGUGGGGAAUAUUGGACAAUGGGCGCAAGCCUGAUCCAGCCAUGCCGCGUGGAUGAUGAGGGCCUUAGGGUUGUAAAGUCCUUUUAACGGGGAAGAUAAUGACGGUACCCGUAGAAUAAGCCCCGGCUAACUUCGUGCCAGCAGCCGC
rnacentral:rRNA from 1 species